rnacentral:rRNA from 1 species
UACAGAGGGGGCAAGCGUUGUUCGGAAUUACUGGGCGUAAAGGGCGCGUAGGCGGCCCGCUAAGUCGAACGUGAAAUCCCCGAGCUCAACUCGGGAACUGCGUCCGAUACUGGUGGGCUUGAAUCCGGGAGAGGGAUGCGGAAUUCCUGGUGUAGCGGUGAAAUGCGUAGAGAUCAGGAAGAACACCGGUGGCGAAGGCGCUCUGCUAGGCCGUAACCGACACUGAGGGACGAAAGCCAGGGGAGCAAACAGG